rnacentral:rRNA from 1 species
UACGUAGGGUGCAAGCGUUGUCCGGAAUUAUUGGGCGUAAAGAGCUCGUAGGCGGUCUGUCGCGUCGGCUGUGAAAACUCGGGGCUCAACUCCGAGCUCGCAGUCGAUACGGGCAGGCUAGAGUUCGGCAGGGGAGACUGGAAUUCCUGGUGUAGCGGCGAAAUGCGCAGAUAUCAGGAGGAACACCGGUGGCGAAGGCGGUUCUCUGGGCAUUACCUGACGCUGAGGAGCGAAAGUGUGGGGAGCGAACAGG